rnacentral:rRNA from 1 species
AUUGAACGCUGGCGGCAGGCCUAACACAUGCAAGUCGAACGAGAGGCGGACGGGUGAGUAAUGUCUGGGAAACUGCCCGAGGGAGGGGGAUAACUACUGGAAACGGUAGCUAAUACCGCAUACCAUCGAAUGUGCCCAGAUGGGAUUAGCUAGUAGGUGGGGUAACGUCUCACCUAGUCGACGAUCCCUAGCUGGUCGCAGAGGAUGACCAGCCACACUGGAACUGAGACACGGUCCAGACUCCUACGGUAGGCAGCGGUGGGGAAUAUUGCACAAGGGGCGCAAUCCUGAUGCAGCCAUGCCGCGUGUAUGAAGAAGGCCUUCGGGUUUUAAAGUACUUUCAGCGAUGAGGCGUUACUCGCAGAAGAAGCACCGGCUAACUCCGUGCCAGCAGCCGCGGUAAUUC